UCCUCCACAGAGGCCUGAUGACUUGAA
rnacentral:piRNA from 1 species